UGAACGCUGGCGGCGUGCCUAACACAUGCAAGUCGAGCGAGAAAGUCUCCUUCGGGAGGCGAGUAAAGCGGCGGACGGGUGAGUAACACGUGGAUGAUCUGUCCUGGAGUGGGGAAUAACUUGGGGAAACUCGAGCUAAUACCGCAUACGCUCGCAUGGUUACGACCAUGCGAGGAAAGUUGGCCUCUACACGUAAGCUGACGCUCCUGGAGGAGUCCGCGCCUGAUUAGCUAGUUGGUGGGGUAAUGGCCUACCAAGGCGACGAUCAGUAGCCGGCCUGAGAGGGUGAUCGGCCACACUGGGACUGAGACACGGCCCAGACUCCUACGGGAGGCAGCAGUGGGGAAUAUUGGACAAUGGGGGCAAACCCUGAUCCAGCAACGCCGCGUGGAGGAUGAAGGCCUUCGGGUCGUAAACUUCUGUCAGUAGGGACGAAAAGCCCCUGGUCAACAGCCUUGGGUCAUGACGGUACCUGCAGAGGAAGCCCCGGCUAACUCCGUG
rnacentral:rRNA from 1 species